CGGUGUGAUUUCCUGGGAAGGGUUUGGUUAGUUCUUCCUCCCUUCCCCUCAGCCACACCGACAGCAUCACUGUAGAGAGAAGAGAGAUGGACUCUGGAGAGCUCUGACCACCUCUCAUAUCUCUGCAGGACAAUG